rnacentral:rRNA from 1 species
UAUUUAUAGUCUAGCCUGCUCACUGACAAAAAGUGUUAAAUAGCCGCGCGUAUUUUGACCGUGCAAAGGUAGCAUAAUCAUUAGUUUUUUAAUUGGAAACUUGUAUGAAUGGUUGGACAAAGAAAAGACUGUCUCUUUUAUUAAAAUUGAAAUUAACUUCUAAGUGAAAAGGCUUAGAUUUUCUAGAGGGACGAUAAGACCCUAUAAAGCUUCAUAAGUUAAAUAAAUUAGAUGGAUUUUUAGAAUAAAAGUAAAUUUAGUAAGCUUAUUUAGUUGGGGCGACAAGGGUAUAAAAUUAAAUAACUGCUAUUAAGGUUAGACAAUUAUAUUUGGUUGGAUUGUAAUUGAUCCUCGCUAUGGAUUAAAAGAUUAAGUUACUUUAGGGAUAACAGCGUAAUUUCUUUUAAGAGUUCUUAUCAAAGGAGAAGUUUGCGACCUCGAUGUUGAAUUAAAAUGUCUUUAUAGUGCAGAAGCUAUAAAGGAAGGUCUGUUCGACCUUUAAUUUUUUACAUGAUUUGAGU